CCUACGGGACGCAGCAGUGGGGAAUUUUCCGCAAUGGGCGAAAGCCUGACGGAGCAAUGCCGCGUGGAGGUAGAAGGCCCACGGGUCGCGAACUUCUUUUCCCGGAGAAGAAGCAAUGACGGUAUCUGGGGAAAAAGCAUCGGCUAACUCUGUGCCAGCAGCCGCGGUAAUACAGAGGAUGCAAGCGUUAUCCGGAAUGAUUGGGCGUAAAGCGUCUGUAGGCGGCUUUUUAAGUCCGCCGUCAAAUCCCAGGGCUCAACCCUGGACAGGCGGUGGAACCUACCAAGCUGGAGUACGGUAGGGGCAGAGGGAAUUUCCGGUGGAGCGGUGAAAUGCGUAGAGAUCGGAAAGAACACCAACGGCGAAAGUACUCUGCUGGGCCGACACUGACACUGAGCGACGAAAGCUAGGGGAGCGAAUGGGAUUAGAUACCCCAGUAGUC
rnacentral:rRNA from 1 species